rnacentral:misc_RNA from 1 species
CGCACAUUGCGCCCGUUAGUAUUCUGACGGGCAUGCCUGUUCGAGCGUCAUUUCAACCCUCAGGCCUCGCGGUCUGGCGUUGGGGAUCAGCGCGGGCCGCUCCGGCGGCUUGCUGGCCCUGAAAUACAGUGGCGGUCUCGCUGUAGCCUCCUAUGCGUAGUAGAAACACCUCGCACCUGGAACUAUGCGCGGCCACGCCGUAAAACCCCCCACUUUUCACAAGGUUGACCUCGGAUCAGGUAGGAAUACCCGCUGAACUUAA